CACGUAGUUAGCCGUGGCUUUCUGGUUAGGUACCGUCAAGACUUGUUCAGUUACUAACAAAUUUGUUCUUCCCUAACAACAGAGUUUUACGAUCCUAAGACCUUCAUCACUCACGCGGCGUUGAUCCGUCAGGCUUUCGCCUAUUGCGGAAGAUUCCCUACUGCUGCCUCCCGUAGGAGUCUGGACCGUGUCUCAGUUCCAGUGUGGCCGAUCACCCUCUCAGGUCGGCUACGUAUCGUUGCCUUGGUAAGCCGUUACCUUACCAACUAGCUAAUACGGCGCGGGUCCAUCUAUAAGUGACAGCCGAAACCGUCUUUCAACAUUGAACCAUGCGGUUCAAUAUAUUAUCCGGUAUUACGCCCCGGUUUCCGGAGUUACUCCCAGUCUUAUAGGUAGGUUACCCACGUGUUACUCACCCGUCCGCCGUCUAACAUCAGAGAAGCAAGCUUCUCAUCCUGUUCGCUCGACUUG
rnacentral:rRNA from 1 species